rnacentral:rRNA from 1 species
GUCCACGCCGUAAACGAUGGACACUAGGUGUGGGGGGUAUUGACCCCCUCCGUGCCGCAGCUAACGCAGUAAGUGUCCCGCCUGGGGAGUACGGCCGCAAGGCUAAAACUCAAAGGAAUUGACGGGGGCCCGCACAAGCAGCGGAGCGUGUGGUUUAAUUCGACGCAACGCGAAGAACCUUACCAAGGCUUGACAUGCUGGUAGUACCGACCUGAAAGGGAAGGGACCCUUCGGGGAGCCAGUGCAGGUGAUGCAUGGCUGUCGU